AUGUACAUGCCUACAACAUUAAUGCAUUGGAUCCCAUUAUAACUCCAGAGUUAAGCAUGAUUGGGCUAAAGUAGUACUUACAGGGAAGUCCUGGUGUUUUACAUU
rnacentral:rRNA from 1 species